GGGAUGAACGCUGGCGGCGUGCCUAAUACAUGCAAGUCGAGCGCCCCUUUAUGAGUAGAGAACUCGUUAAGAGUUAUCUGUUCCUAUGGGUAGCGGCGGACGGCUGAGUAACGCGUGGGAACGUGCCCCAAAGUGAGGGAUAACGCACCGAAAGGUGUGCUAAUACCGCAUAUGAUCUUCGGAUUAAAGCUUUAUGCGCUUUGGGGAGCGGCCUGCGUCCUAUUAGAUAGUUGGUGAGGUAAAGGCUCACCAAGUCAACGAUGGGUAGCUGGUCUGAGAGGAUGACCAGCCAGACUGGAACUGAGACACGGUCCAGACUCCUACGGGAGGCAGCAGUAAGGAAUCUUCCACAAUGGGCGAAAGCCUGAUGGAGCAACGCCGCGUGCAGGAUGAAGGCCUUCGGGUCGUAAACUGCUUUAUGAGUGAAGAAUAUAGACGGUAACUCAAUGAAAGUAAGGGUACGACUAACGUACGUCGACCAGACCAGCCGGUACGGUAAGUCUA
rnacentral:rRNA from 1 species